CACCGGCACCGGCAGUGGGACCGGCACUGGCACCGGCACCGGCAAUGGGACCGGCACCGGCAUAGACACCAGUAUUGACAUUGACACCAGUAACCAUUGACACCCGGGAUGGCAGCUGACCAAGGAGCAGCACUGACAGGCCCACAGGGGCUAAUUCAUGGAGUGCUGUCACCUCAGUGGGUCAUGACAUGAGUGGGGUUUGCAGUCAGGCUUUCUGAUGUCACAAAGGAAUCCCCAUCUCUGUCGAUGCAGAAAUGUCUCUGUUCCAUACUGCAAGUGUCAUAUGAAGCAGCAUUCUCACCUGGAUGUGUAAAUCAGGUGUGCCGUCUAUCCCUCCUGAGCCUGGAAAUCUCUUCUCUACAUGUUUCAUUCCCAUCCUCACUUUCCCCCAAACACUCAUGGCUGUGCAUUCAGCACAUUCCUGAAACAGUAGAAUAUCCAGGAAGGAAGGAGUAGUAGAGGAGCAUUUCAAAUCAUCGAAUCACCCCUUUGCAACCACCUUCCCCCUGAAACUACUUGUUCCUUUCCCUUCACGUUAGUAACCUGCCAAGCAUCCACAGGAACAAAUGCCAGGAUUUAGAAAUGUUGCAAGUGUUGUGGGGAGACACUUGAAGGACUGAGCUCGACAUCAGGUUUCUCUCCAACACUUGUUCUAGCGACCCCAGUUCCUUUGGGGACAGGAGCCUUUCAGCAUCUUCAGGAGCUCCUUGGGCUGAGGAAGUUCAGCAGAGGCCACAGUCAGGGCAUGUGAAAGGUGAGGGUGUCUGGUUCUCUGAGGUUCACAUCGUGUCCAUUUUCCUUUCCAAGUGAAGAACAAGGAACAGGGAAAGUGAUGAACAAAGCACACAAUGACACCAGUCUGGCAGUAGGUGUUAAAGGAGAGCAGUGGGGAGCUCAGAGCUCUCCAGCUUCUAAUUGAGGACUCCACUGCGAGCUGAGCGGGAACAGCCCCUUGCCAUGAGCGAGGCCCCAGAGGCACGGAAUGCUCCCGGGGCCGAUGGCUGAGGGAGCCUCGGCGGCUGCUGCUGGAGGAGCGAGAAACGCCCAAGGAGCAUUUCAGGCGCUGCAAGGACAGGGCAUUGCUCUGCCUGCUCCCGCCGCUGCUGCCUUUGCCCCCGCCCAGAGUCGCUCCCGGCAGCUCCGUUCUCUCGGGGCUGCCGCGCGUUUCGGACUCUUCCUCACUCAGCAAACACGCAGCUCGCUCUCGGCAUGCACCUCGCAUGUCUCAUCCUCAGCGUCCUGCUGGCCCAGCUCCUGGGCGCCACGGGGCAGGAAACGGUCACCCAGGAUGAUGGACCAGUCACGGUGAAGCAGGGACACCCCUUCCACACCACCUGCAAAUACCAGAGCAGUUAUUUUAGGGGAUUGCACUGGUACCAGCUGCAGAAAGGCCAAGCCCCACAGCUGCUCUCCUAUCAAGUAGGGUCUGGCCGCAAGCACAGCGGCCGGAUCACCACGUACCUGAACACCACGGGCAAAUCCAGUGUCCUGCAGCUGGAGGAAGUGGAGCUCUCUGACAGUGCCUUGUACCUCUGUGCUCUGCAAGACACCCUGGUGCAGGGAGCUGCCUCGGCUGUGCAAGAACCCCGGGCAGGGAGGGGAUGUGUCAGGGCAGGGCUGAGCUUGGAGAAGGGACCCUGAUCUCAGCCCUAAUGCUCACAAGAAGUUGCAUUCAGCAUGUGUGUACUAUGGUCUGAUGGUUUUGACCCCAUGCAUCGUAGCACAUCCAUUGCAAAACUGUUUUGCAGUAUUUUGACUCAUUUCUGCAUUGUGCACUCUCUAAAGAAAGAAAAAAAAUCU